AGAGUUGAUCAUGGCUCAGGAUGAACGCUGGCGGCGUGCUAACACAUGCAAGUCGAACGAAGCUCCCGAUUGAGUUUCGGACAAGAUGAAGGGAUGACUUAGUGGCGGACGGGUGAGUAAUGCGUGAGCAACCUGCCCUUCAGUGGGGGACAACAGUUGGAAACGACUGCUAAUACCGCAUAAAGUAUUCGGAAGGCAUCUUUUGAAUACCAAAGAUUUUAUCGCUGAAGGAUGGGCUCACGUCUGAUUAGCUAGUUGGUGAGGUAAUGGCUCACCAAGGCUGCGAUCAGUAGCCGGACUGAGAGGUUGACCGGCCACAUUGGGACUGAGAUACGGCCCAGACUCCUACGGGAGGCAGCAGUGGGGAAUAUUGGGCAAUGGGCGCAAGCCCUGACCCAGCAACGCCGCGUGAAGGAAGAAGGCGUUUCGGGUUAGUAAACUUUCUUUUAGCGAGGGAACGAAACAAAUGACGGUACCUGCAGAAUAAGCACCGGCUAACUACGUGCCAGCCGCGGC
rnacentral:rRNA from 1 species